rnacentral:rRNA from 1 species
AUUGAACGCUGGCGGCAGGCCUAACACAUGCACGUCGAACGAGUGGCGGAUGGGUGAGUAACGCAUGGGUAACCUGCUAUUAAGUCCGGGAUACCAUUUGGAAACAGGUGCGAAUACCGGAUACGAAAGGAUGGAUCUGCGAUGCAUUAGCUAGUUGGUAAGGUAACGGCUUACCAAGGCGAUGAUGCAUAGCCGAGUUGAGAGACUGAUCGGCCACAUUGGGACUGAGACACGGCCCAAACUCCUACGGGAGGCAGCAGUAGGGAAUCUUCCACAAUGGACGAAAGUCUGAUGGAGCAACGCCGCGUGAGUGAAGAAGGUUUUCGGAUCGUAAAGCUCUGUUGUUGGUGAAGCGGUAAUCAACCAGAAAGUCACGGCUAACUACGUGCCAGCAGCCGCGGUAAUAC